rnacentral:rRNA from 1 species
UACGUAGGGGGCAAGCGUUGUCCGGAAUCAUUGGGCGUAAAGCGCGCGCAGGCGGCACAUUAAGUAAGGUGUGAAAUAUCCCGGCUCAACCGGGAGGGUGCACUUUAGACUGAUGAGCUUGAGGUCGGUAGAGGGGGGUGGAAUUGCUGGUGUAGCGGUGAAAUGCGUAGAGAUCAGCAGGAACACCCGUGGCGAAGGCGGCCCCCUGGGCCGUACCUGACGCUGAGGCGCGAAGGCUAGGGGAGCGAACGGG